AGAGAGAGAGAGAGAGAGAGAAAUACACAUACCAAAACAAAAAUUUACAACAUCUUUAAACAGUUGAAACGGUGUAAUUCAUAAAUAUGUCAAUGGGAAGGAAAGACUGAGAUUCUUGCAAAGUGACUGCUUCGUCACGGCCCUGCAGUCCUCUCUCCUGCCCAUUCGGUGGCUUUAUGAACGUGCAUGGCUUCUCCCUACGCAAAGGUUAGAAGCAGACAUUCUCUGUGUCUAAGACGAUUUUGCUUUUAUACCUGAUUACCACCUUGUUGCUUUGCCCCACGUAGACUCUACUCCCCAUUAAGGCACACCUAACCAUUUAGCUUUUGUUCAACUUUUUAACUGUCAGAUAGAAACCUUUUCCCCUCUCUCAGCCUACCCACUCUUCCUAUCCACCCAUUUUUGACCUCUCCCAUUCUGUAAAUCUUUAUCAAGCAUCAGCCUUUCCUCAGGAAGCUCCAGUAGCUCAUAGGCCCGAGUUUCUAGAGUGAAGCAGCUGGCUAAUGAACGGAAGGAGAGGAUAACAGAGGUGAAAAAUAAUGUUCGGUGCUAAGUUGGAGAAAAUGAUGAGACUACCCCUAAGGAAGAACAGUUAGGUUGGAAGGAAGGAAAAAAACAACUCUUAUUCUGAGAUUAUGGUGAGCCGUUCAAAGACCAAUGCCUAGCAUGUGAGCUAUCUGCUAUCUGGAUAACCAUUGGUGAAUCAUUGGCAGAAGUGUGAUUCAAGAACCAGGAGAUUACUUAACAGCUCCAAGGUGCAGGAUAGAAUCAAAACAAAACAAAACAAAACAAAACAGAAAGUUAAAGAUUAGCAUAUUUGAAGGGCAUGCUAGAAAGACUAUGUCAGAACAGAAAAUUUUCUCCUACAUUUUGUAUGUUAUGCCACUUGGAAAAGGAGAAUAUUUCUUCAAUUUAUAUCCUGUAUCCAAGGAAGAGAUCCGUGAUGUCCGUCAUGUAAUGGGAGAAGGUCCUUCACUGUCUCCGUCAGGCCCAUCCCUGGAGCCUUGCAAGGAUACAACAACCUUCACAGAAAGACAAAGCAUCCAGUGGUGGUACCCUGCAAACCAAAUACUGAUGGCUCAAACCACCCUUCUCCAUUGACAACACAAGAAUAUAUAGCAUCUCUCUGG
rnacentral:sRNA from 1 species